rnacentral:misc_RNA from 1 species
CAGAGUUCAUGCCCUUCGGGGUAGAUCUCCCACCCGUGUUAUCAUACCUUUGUUGCUUUGGCGGGCCCGCCUCGGCCACCGGCUCCGGCUGGUGAGCGCCCGCCAGAGGACCCCAAACUCUGAAAUUUAAUGUCGUCUGAGUACUAUAUAAUAGUUA